AAGGACUUAAGUUAACUUAAACUAAUAACCUUCAAAGUUAUAAAUAAAAUAAUUUUUAGGCCU
rnacentral:tRNA from 1 species